AAAAGAUCCAUCUAGUCAAGCCCAGGGGUGUCAAACUCAAUUCCUUGAGGGCCAGAGCCCUGCGGAGUUUAGAUUCAGCCCUAAUUAAACACACCUGAUCCAACAAAUCAAGUCAUUCGGGCUUAUUUGAAAACUACAUGGUAUGUGUGUUGGAGCAGGGUUGGAACAAAACUCUGCACACUCAUGUGGGGCUCAAAGGGAGAUGGUCCUCACUGCAGAACACAAGAUCCAGGGGGCGAGGUUGGAUCCAGAUCCAACUCCUCCCACUUUAUAAACUUUGUUCCACCGGAUGAACCUGCAUAUUUUGUGAAGUUGCAGCCCGUGGUCGCCAACGUUUGCUCUUAUCAAUAUGCACAGAACAGUGUUGCGGCAAUGAGAAGAUUGCCCUUCAGAGAUGCCAGAGCUAUUGCUGUAAUUGCCAUUGCCCGUUCUGCGGACCAAAAGUGUUCAAACCCACCAUGGAACUUCACGUGGAGAAUCAUGUCUGCAACCACUUAUCUUUGGCAGUACAGCAUGAAGGCAAGUUGAUAUUGAUUUAUUUAUUUUUUUAUUCGUAGUUAUUGUUAAUAUUAUUUUACUGACGUUAACAGUUGCUCAUUAGCCUAAUUUGUUUAAUGUAAGCCUCGUAGUAUUGUAACGCUUGAACAAUACAAUACAACUUUUUUAGCAUGCAUCUUUCAUUAGGAAGAAUAGAAAGAAUAUGUGAGUGCUAGAAAAUGUAUAUAAUAUAUAUAAAAUCAAUGUCUUAUGUAACAGUAUUGCACUAUACAUUAUUUUUGAGUGGCCAUUUGAUUUCACCCAGG